AAAGCUUUGCUUACGCAGAACAGUUCUCAAGCGCUUGAAAUAUUGAAUCUUUUUUACAAAAUCUUUCUAGAUGUAUAGUAAUGUUAACUGUGGAAUGUGGUCAGCAAUUUUUUUUCGUAAUUAUUGUCCCUUGGUGCCAAGACUGUGUGGAGAUAUAGAAAUAAUUUUCUACGAUUUUUUGCAUCCCUUUACUGACAGUGAGAUAAUCUUGGAUCUUUUUGAAAACAUUGAUUGAGAGAGAAUUUUGAUACGCAGAUCGUUCUACAAAGAUUACGAGAUUAGCACACUUUGCGAGACUAAUGGCACGUACAUUAGGAACUAUUUGAUAAAAGUACCGAUUAAAGAUAGAUUGUACUAACGGUUCUUUCGUGUCAGAAAGUCUGUAUCCAUUUAACCUAAUGGUAUAAACAUGGAUAUAUUACCUUAUCAAUUCAUAGAAUGUACUUAUCAUAGUGUAAAUAUUUCAUUAUUAAUAUCAUUUGAAGAGCGAACUGCAGAGGAGGACUACUUUCUGACUGAUUGCAAUCGCAUAGCGUGGCACAGAGGGAGGAAUUCGAUUACGUUGUAACUACGAUUAAAUACUAUGUGAAAAUCCCGCGAAUUCUGACCAGCGUCGUGUAGAGAGGUUUGAUCAGGACGAUAAACAGGCCGACUACGUAGGAGGAGACUGUAAGGCUUACGCCAAGCUCACUGCCGGGGAAUGACCUCUUAUAAAGGCCGGUAAAGAGGGUGGCGAAGAGCAGGAUAAUUGCGACGAUACCGCAGCAGCCGUGGACCAGUUUCAGGCUGGCAAGGCUCACCCUCGGAGACAGCAGACCGGAAUACGAUGUGGAAACUCCGCCCAGGGCGACGACGUAGGCGACGAUCACCGCGGUCAGACCCAGCUUUCCAUGG